AGUGAACGCUGGCGGUAGGCCUAACACAUGCAAGUCGAACGGCAGCACAGUAAGAGCUUGCUCUUACGGGUGGCGAGUGGCGGACGGGUGAGGAAUACAUCGGCAUCUACUUUUUCGUGGGGGAUAACGUAGGGAAACUUACGCUAAUACCGCAUACGACCUACGGGUGAAAGCAGGGGAUCUUCGGACCUUGCGCGAUUGAAUGAGCCGAUGUCGGAUUAGCUAGUUGGCGGGGUAAAGGCCCACCAAGGCGACGAUCCGUAGCUGGUCUGAGAGGAUGAUCGGCCACACUGGAACGGAGACACGGUCCAGACUCCUAAGGGAGGCAGCAGUGGGGAAUAUUGGACAAUGGGCGCAAGCCUGAUCCAGCCAUACCGCGUGGGUGAAGAAGGCCUUCGGGUUGUAAAGCCCUUUUGUUGGGAAAGAAAAGCAGCAGGUUAAUACCCCGCUGUUCUGACGGUACCCAAAGAAUAAGCACCGGCUAACUUCGUG
rnacentral:rRNA from 1 species